rnacentral:lncRNA from 1 species
AUGACCAGAACAUCUAGAAAUGGCAGUUUUCCUUCCUUUUCUUUUUCCAUGGUGAAUUGGAUGUUUGGGUGGAUGCUGUUAAGAUGGUCCAGGAACUUGCUGAGUUCUUCCUCUCCAUGGCUCCAAAUCGUGAAGGUGUCAUCUACGUAUCUGAACCAAACAGCACCAAAAAAGCCAACUGUUUGGUUCAGAUACGUAGAUGACACCUUCACAAUUUGGAGCCAUGGAGAGGAAGAACUCAGCAAGUUCCUGGACCAUCUUAACAGCAUCCACCCAAACAUCCAAUUCACCAUGGAAAAAGAAAAGGAAGGAAAACUGCCAUUUCUAGAUGUUCUGGUCAUCCGCAAACCCAAUCAACAAUUGGGCCACACAGUUUACAGAAAACCUACACACACAGAUAGAUACCUUCAUAAAAACUCCAACCAUCACCCAAGUCAAAAAAGGAGCACAAUCAAAGCCCUGACAGACCGUGCACAAAGAAUCUGCGAACCUCACCUCCUCCAAGGUGAACUCAACCACCUAAACUGGGCUCUACAGGCCAAUGGAUACUCCACCACAGACAUCAGAAGAGCUGCAAGGCCAAGAACAAGCCAUGAGAGUCAAGACAAAGAUCCACCCAGAGGAAAGGUGUUCUUACCAUACAUCAAGGGAACUACUGACCGCAUAGGGAAGCUGAUGAAGAAGCACAACCUACAAACUAUCUACAGACCCACGAAGAAAAUCCAACAAAUGCUACGGUCAGCGAAGGACAAGAGGGAUCCUCUCUCUUCUGCAGGAGUCUACUGGAUACCAUGCAGCUGUGGACAAGUCUACAUAGGGACCACCAAACGCAGCGCCCAAACAAGAGUCAAAGAACAUGAAAGGCACUGCAGACUAAUUCAACCAGAGAAAUCAGCCAUAGCAGAGCAUUUGAUGAACCAGCCUGGACACAGAAUACUAUUUGAGAACACAAAAAUGCUGGACCAUUCUAACAACUAUCAUGUCAGACUACACAGAGAAGCCAUUGAAAUCCACAAGCAUGUGGACAACUUCAACAGAAAGGAAGAAACCAUGAAAAUGAACAAAAUCUGGCUACCAGUAUUAAAAAACUCAAGAAUCAGAACAGUAAAUAAAAAGCAAUACUCUGAAAACAGAGGAUUUCCAGACAUGAAUCAACCUAGGGCAGUUAACGACUCUAAACAAAGGAUGCCCCAGAGGCAGGAAGAAGACAGCAGAUAA